AGCUCCAAUAGCGUAUAUUAAAGUUGUUGCGGUUAAAAAGCUCGUAGUUGGAUUUCUGUUGAGGGCGGCCGGUCCGCACUACGUGCGUGUAUCUGGUCUGGCCUCGGCAUCCUCUCGGAAAACGCUACUGUGCUUGAUUGCAUGGUGUGGGGUUCGGGACUUUUACUUUGAGGAAAUUAGAGUGUUCACGGCAGGCAAUCGCCCUGAAUAUAUUAGCAUGGAAUAAUAAUAUAGGAUCUGUUGCCUAUUUUGUUGGUUUCUAGGCGGUAGAUAAUGAUUAAGAGGGACAGUUGGGGGCAUUCGUAUUAUGGCGUCAGAGGUGGAAUUCUUGGAUUGCCAUACGACGAACUACUGCGAAAGCAUUUGCCAAGGAUGUUUUCA
rnacentral:rRNA from 1 species